rnacentral:rRNA from 1 species
GACGUAGGGCGCGAGCGUUGUCCGGAUUUAUUGGGCGUAAAGAGCGCGCAGGCGGCUUGGCAAGUCGGGUGUGAAAUCCCGGGGCUCAACCCCGGGACUGCAUCCGAUACUGUCAGGCUAGAGGUAGGUAGGGGAGAUCGGAAUUCCUGGUGUAGCGGUGAAAUGCGCAGAUAUCAGGAGGAACACCGGUGGCGAAGGCGGAUCUCUGGGCCUUACCUGACGCUCAGGCGCGAAAGCUAGGGGAGCGAACAGG